UCCGUAAUAUAUAUUGUACGAACUGUACCAGUCGCAAAGACAGCAAGUGGCGACUGAACGUUCCCGCGCAUUUUUUCUGAAGUUUGACUGUUGGCCAUUUAACGUGUUGGCUACAGCAGCUUCUUCAUUAAAAAAUUCUACGAGAUAUGGAAAUGUGGUUUCACUUCCGACGCGACCUUGAAUACGGGCGUCACGACGGCGCCACAAAUUCUGAGAUUCGUAAGGCAUGUUUUUGCCAACGCAGCGAGACAAAUAAGGGUAUUCAAAUCACCUAUUGGGAUCAUCUCUUUCUCAAAUGCUCUUUCAACGACAUGUUGUUUUUUUAACCAUUGAAUAAAAAUUGUACAAAGUU